CAGCUAGUUGGUGAGGUAAGAGCCCACCAAGGCAGAGAUCGGUAGCCGGCCUGAGAGGGCACACGGCCACACUGGCACUGAAACACGGGCCAGACUCCUACGGGAGGCAGCAGUGGGGAAUCUUGCACAAUGGGGGAAACCCUGAUGCAGCGACGCCGCGUGAGCGAUGAAGCCCUUCGGGGUGUAAAGCUCUUUCGUCAGGGAAGAUAGUGACGGUACCUGGAGAAGCAGCUGCGGCUAACUACGUGCCAGCAGCCGCGGUAAUACGUAGGCAGCAAGCGUUGUUCGGAGUUACUGGGCGUAAAGGGUGUGUAGGCGGUUCUUUAAGUUCGCUGUGAAAUCUCCCGGCUUAACCGGGAGGGUGCGGUGAAUACUGAGGGACUAGAGUACGGGAGAGGAAAGUGGAAUUCCUGGUGUAGCGGUGAAAUGCGUAGAUAUCAGGAGGAACACCGGUGGUGUAGACGGCUUUCUGGACCGUAACUGACGCUGAGACACGAAAGCGUGGGUAGCAAACAGGAUUAGAUACCCUGGUAGUCCACGCCCUAAACGAUGCAUAUUUGGUGUGGGCAGUUC
rnacentral:rRNA from 1 species